rnacentral:tRNA from 1 species
AUCUUUUUAGUAUAAUAAUAAAUAUAUUUGACUUCCAAUCAAAAGAUCUUAAAGUAAGAAAAGAUA